ensembl:lncRNA novel transcript
AUGAGCCACUGUACUGAGCUGUGCCUACUUCAAAAGACUGAAAAUAAAAAAUCAAUAAAUCUUUGCCAAAUUAAAAAACAAAACAAUAGUUUCCAGGUCUUAGACAAAGACAAUUCUGUGUCAUGAAGAGUGGCAAAAGGCUUAUUUAGCUGUUAAAAUGAUUUGCUUAUAUUUCAAAGAAGCAGAGAAAAAAAGAUACAUAUAAAAGUUUUCCAGGCCAGGCACGGCUGUUCAUGCCUGUAAUCCCAACAUUUGGGGAGGCCAAGGCAGGAGGAUCUCUUGAAGCCAAAUGUUUGAGUCCAGUACAGGCAACAUGGUGAAAUUCUGUCACCAUAAAAAAAUAAAUAAAAUAAAUAUGGCUGGACAUGGUGGUUCACGCUUGUAAUACCAGCACUUUGGGAGUCGGAGGCAGGUGGAUAAUGAGGUCAGGGGUUCGAGACCAGCCUGGCCAAAAUGGUGAAACCCUUUCUCUCCUAAAAAUAAUAACAAUAAAAAAUUAGCCAGGCAUGGUGCUGUGCGCCUGUAAUGCCAGCUACUCAAAAGGUUGAAGCAAGAGAAUUGCUUGAACUUGGGAGGCGGAGGUUGCAUUGAGCUAAGAUCAUGCCACUACACUCUAGCCUGGCCCACAGAGCAAGACACUGUCUUGAAAAAAUAAAUAAAUAAAUAAAUAAAUAAAUAAAUAAAUAAAUAAAUAAAAAGUUAGCUAGGCCUGGAGGUGCAUGCCUAUAGUCCUAGGUAAUUAAGAGGUUGAGGCAGGAGGACUGCUCAAACCCAAGAAGUUAAGGUUAUAGUGAGCUAUGAUUAUGCCAUUGCACUUCAGACUAAGCAAAAGAGUAAGAUUCCAUUUCAAAAAAUUACUAAAAAAAGUUCUCUAAAUUACAUUGUUUAAGAAAAGGGAAAAGAAAAAAUAUCUUUUUUAAUUUUCAAAUGGGAGAAUAGAGCCUCUCAUUUCUAAUAUGUAUUUCCUUCUGCAAAAACAUGGUCUAGGCCCAUGGUCUUGAACUACUGGACAUCUGAAUUUUAGUAGGUGCUGGAUUCAGGCAACUGAGGGGUGGCUUGGACACACUAAGUGCACGUAAAUAAAAGGUUUGAGGUGAACUAAAAGGUAAAAGAGGGGAAGGUGCUAUUAAGAACCCACAGUUGGGAGACAGUACAGGGUUGGUGGAAGGACUGGUUCAUGCUACAGAUACUGACCCAGGUGAAACUUUACUCUGACUUAUUUCUGUGUCCAUGCAGGAAGACGAGAUUAUGAUCAGGUGGCACAGAAACCUGGGAUGGUGAAAAAACCAGGUUGCCCCUGCAGAUUCGGUGUCUGAGGUAGAACGUAUGCCAGGGGUCUUGUAGGCACAUGUGUGGGUUUUUGGUGGGAAAGUCUAUGAGGAAAGGUAGCAUGGGCAACAAUCUUGAUGCCAAAGCCUUGUCCUGAGAGGGGCUUGGCCACAUCAACAUGCAGUGUGUAUGUUCAGUGGGUGAAAAACCUGUGGUGGCCUCAGGUUGGCAGGAGGGUAGAAGGCAUCUGUUCUCAGAACUUCUUCCCUCAGAGUCGUCGGUCCUUCUUACCAUGGGAGAAUGCCUGGAACCACAGGGCAGUGCAUGGUGUAGCAGCCUGUGUGCAGAGCAGAGCCUACCUUCCCCGAGACACCUGGAGUCUCUCUCCAGCAGAGGCCCCCACAUUGUCUUUCUCCUUACAACACUUUUGAUCCUAAAUGUGUAAAGUUCCCUGAAAACCCACUGCUUCUCCAACACCCAUUUGUUGCCCCAAAAUUUAAUUCUGACACAACUUAGAGUUCACACAGAUCCCAGAAAUUCAGGGCUCAGUCCCACAUCACCCCUCUCACUGUAGAGGAGAGUUACACAUCCCUGAAGCCCAUCUACACUUCUGAGCUACCUCCUAUAAAUCUGAGACUAGCAUAAACCCCUUUUCAAGUUAAAUAAUUUGAUAGAAUUACUAAAAAGAAAACCUCAACAAAUAACUGUAAUUAUAUUUACUACUUUAUUAUAAAAAUAUAACUCAGAAACAGCCAAAUGGAAGAGAUGUCUAGGGCAAGGAACAGUUGUGGGUGAAGGCAAUCCUGGAAAUAGCUAUAUUUAAAGAAAUUCCCCCAUUCUUUGCAUUCUCAAAGAACAGCUUAGUGAAGAGAAACGUGCUUCCCCUGAUGACUUUGAGGAUGCUCCCUGCUGUUUUUUUAACCUAUCACAAAAAUGGACACAGAUUGCAAAUUCCCAUUUUUAAAAAUGAACAACCAUUCAGUAAUUUAGUCUUCAGUGGUCCAAAUAACAUACUCUUAAAGAAACUUUGCUUGUUUCUCUUCUUCCAACCAGCCCCUGAACUUUGACUCACCCACAGCUUCAGCAAACCUACAACCCUUAUUUAUACAUACCCCUCCUAAGAACAGGCUGAGUUCAAGGUGAAACAUUAUCUUAUCUGGGAUCGCAUUUUGCUACCCUCCAUCGUGUGCUUCCUUUCCAACCUUCUUUGUAAACUUGUUUUCUCCUCCCUAUGAAAUAAGGCCCUUUUCCACCUAACCUUAGAGAUACUCAAAGAUCUAAUCAUUUGUACUUUUUCUUUGUUGCAAUACUUCUUAGGUAACUUCUUAGACCAAGUCUAGAAACAGUCUGAGGACAAUAACAAUUCCAUUCUAAAAAGAAUCUCCCAACAUUUCUUCUAUCUCAACCUCAACUGCAUCUGCCUGUGAACUUCCAGCUUACCAAGGCUCUAUAUCUUCUGGCAGUGACAAAGGCUCCUUCCAUGGUUGGUGUGAGUAGGCUUGGACACCUGCAGGGCAGACACCCAGGAAUAAUCAACUGGGCCUUCAGUGGUCCUCUUUUGCAGGGUCAAGGUGGGCCUUAGCUUUUAGUCAAUGGUCUAAGACUUCUAUUUACCAGUUAGUCAUUCAGUUAGUUUUCAAUUCAAAAAAUACUUCAUGUUUGAAGAAUCCAGCAAAAAUUAUUCAAAUCUAAGAUAUAAAAGAGAGGAAAUUACAGCCGGGCAUGGUGACUCAUGCCUGUAAUCCCUACAUUUUGGGAGGCCUAGGCGGGCAGAUGACCUGAGAUCAGGAGUUUGAGACCAGCCUGACCAACAUGAAGAAACCCCGUCUCUGCUAAAAAUACAAAAUUAUCCAGGUGUGGUGUUGUAUGCCUGUAAUCCCAGCUACUCGGGAGGCCGAGGCAGGAGAAUCGCUUGAACCCAGGAGUUGGAGGUUACAGUGAGCAGAUGUCUUGCCAUUGCACUCCAGCCUGGGCAAGAAGAGUGAAACUACAUCUAAAAAAUAACAGAAUAAAAUAAAAUAAAAACAUUAUAAGGGGCUUAUAUCUUAUAAUUCAUCAAGAAAAGCCAAAGUAUCUAUCCCUUUCAGAAAAUAAACAUGUAAUUUAAUUAUGUUCAAAACAAAUCAUUUAGUAAACAAUUAAUCAUAUGUGAACACUUCCAGGAGGUGCAAAGUCCCAGCUCCUAAAACUUAACAUUACCCUCAAACACCCAGAUGGCAGCAUAUGGAAUAGAGUUAUUCACUUUCACAAGUUCUCUCUUUUGAAAAAAAGAAUAACUUAUGUGAUAAAUUUAUGUAAUUUGACAAUUAAUCUACCUCAUGUGCUUGCAGAUAUGUAUUCAUUUCCUACCACCGUAGUGGAAGAGAGAUUUUCCCUAUCUUUACAACUGAUAGCAUUUCCAACAGUAAGCUGUGAGAUUCUGCUUGAAAUCACCUCUCAAACAAAUAAAAAACAGACCUGGGAGACAUGCUACACUCAUUCUGCUGAGGAAAUAGGGCAAGAAUAUUUUCUAAGACCCCGAACUCCAGAUAUGCGAUGGGGCAAAUCCUGAAGCGUACAUGGCUAUCUCUCACAGCUAAAGCACCCCUCACCCCUAUCCAGCGCUUCUUACCCCUGGCGCAAGAGAGUCACCUGCGGGGAGGAAAACUAUCAAAAUCCCUUAAACCCAAGUUGUAACCGCACAACUAAAUCAGAAUCCUUGGAGCUGGAUCUGAAAAAAAUACGGUUGAAAGUUGUGCAGGUGAUUACAAUGUGUAGGCAAGCCAGAAAACCAUGGCUUUAACGAGCAGCUUUUGUUAGAAAUGAUUUCUCAAAUGAAUGUAAAAACGUUUGCUGCUGAAUUGUGACCUUUCAAUUUUACCUGCUUUUCCUGCAAAGUAUAUUUUGCAGACCCAGGCUGGCUUGUCCUUCUGUUCAUGGUUCACCCAGUGCCGUGUGUGCUCAGUGCAUCCUGUGCACGGGUCACUGUGCUGUGUGCGCUGGCCGGGGUGAGCAUCAUUCUUCGGGGAGAACCUUUCUGAAAACAAAGCUGCAAUCCAAAAAGUUAAAACCAUGCUACUUACUGUACUGAGGUAAAAAUUAAAAGACCUAGGGGACUCUUCCAAAAGUUAAAACGUAAAUAAAUAUCUUGGAACAUUAAUAUACACCUGACGAUGUCCUGAGUGAACACGCCCCACUUUAAAACAAAACAAAACAUUACUAUUAUUCUAAAAUAUUAAUUUAGGAUUGUUAUGCAAAUAUGUACUAUUUAAAUAUUUAUUGAUGAAUAACAUGCAUACAGCAAUAUAGGAACAAAAUAUUUAUGGAAUGCUUGAUGAAUUAUUACUAAAUAAAUACACUUGUGUAUGUAAGAAUCAGAUUUGCUCAUGCCCUUGACACUUUCUCCUUCCCAAAGGUAACCAAGACCUUAAGAGCUAAGUGUAGAUAAACUUUGUCAUUUUCUACACGUGUUUUAUUACAGAACAUUAAAAACGUAUACAUAAUACAAAAAAAGGAUAACAGACCAGUCACCCAGAUUUAACAGCUACUAGUCAUGUGUCAUUUUUGUUUCACCUAUACUUCCAGCCAUUUCCACCCCAAUUUCAUUAUUUUUUAGCCUUUUUGGAUAAAAUGUAUAUUCAUUGCAAGGUACAAUGUGAACUGUGAAUAGUAGAGAGAUGGGGUUUCACCAUGUUGACCAUGCUAGUCUUGAACUCCUGUCCUCAGGUGAUCCACCUGCUUCGGCUUCCCAAAUUGCUGGGAUUACAGGCAUAAGCCAAUAUACUCAGCCUGAGAAUUUUUUCAUACUUCUAAGAAAGUACAAAUCCAUAGGGCACAUGAGAACUGCAAUGUCUAUCUACAGUAAAUACAGUUUGAUAAAUAAAAUGAAAGGCAAUUGACCUAAGGUGAAAAGAAAAACAAAAAACAAUCAAAGCAUGGGUACUAUGUGUCAUCUGUAAGAGCAUUUGGUUAAGAAUAACAAACAAACCAGUUUUAUCGUUUUAAUAGCCGAAAUUGGCAAAAUUUCUAGUUUUUCUUUCAUAGGAAUGCUCUUUGCAAGAAAAAAUUUUCAUAUAGUGAGAGCAAAAAUGGCAACCAUUUGCAAGUAAAUGUCUUAUGAAAUUAAGUAGCAGAUAUCAAGCUCAUGACCUUCAGAUAGUUACCCCUAACUCAAUCACUUACAUAGCAAGUGCAGAUAAUUUUCAUAGCUCCCUAUUAAAAUUAUAUUUGAAUGCCCUUACAAAUUGUGACUGUUUUUAAAUAAAGUUGACCAACUAAAAUUUUGUAUAUGACAUAUGAUAAAUUCCCCUUCAAGUCACCUUACAUUUACUUAAUUUUAUUAGGCAGUGUCUGUCUACCACCCAAUAAUACUUGACGAUUCUCCCUCCAUUUGCACAGGCAUCAUAGCUGGGAAACGGAUUCACAAGACCCAGGCUGUUCCCUACAUAUGUUUCCUCCUCCGACAUCAGUUCAUCAGUCAAUCAAGCCAUGUGAGAGUGGAGGCCUUGUAUUCCCUAUUAUUCUUGGGCACUCUACUCCAAGUAGGAAAAGGCCAGGAGGUCCUGUUAAAGGAUGCACUCAGAGCCCGGGCUCCCUAACAUAUGAGAGUGCUAACCAGCAGGUGUAGACUUUUCAGGAGUGAAGAAUGAGGCAGGCAUUCCAAACCUGGACCUUCAUCACCUUUUGUUUCAUCUCAAGACAAUUCUGAGGGACUGUUUUGGAGCGUGUCUGGAAGGUGAACCUUGAAGAAGAGUGUGGGCUUUGAUGUGACUCAGUUGAGAUCUUUCAUGGGGAGGCAGGAAUUCAAUGCCCAGAAUCUGGGCUGGUGUCUUUGAGGUCAGUAGGUUGCGUCUUUGUAUCCAAGUCCAUUGUUACUAGGUUGGAGGCUGGAGAUUCUAAAUGGCUUCCAGACCAUCUCUCUGAUUCUCUUUGGGAGAUGGGGUCUGAAAGACAAUGUCAGUAGUUUUGGGAAAUUCUAGAAAGUGUGCUUGGAAACGUGGGAAGAGCUCUUGCCUAGUGCCUAAAUGCUCCAUUUGCAGCUCUAGCCAAGUAGAUACUUGGUAGGUAUAGAGCCGGGUUUGCGUUUAUAUCAGCAAAACCUAUGUCAGAGUUGAAGAAGUAGUCAGGAAAAAGCGUCUUGGUCGCAGGCCGGGGAACAUCUUAAAAGCAAACUUCUAGCCUGCUGACUCUUGGCAAUGAGUGUUGGAUCCUGGCUAAAGUGCCUUGAAUGCAGCAUGAGGCCAAUCCAUGAAUCCAACUUCUCAUGGAGAAAUGUUAAUAUUUUUUCAGUUUGAAUCAAUCAGGGUGAAACUACCAUGCUAUUGGUUUGCUUACUUUUUAUUAUUUCAUGUAAAAUCUAAGACAAAAUACAUUAAAUGCUUAUUGACAUAUGUAUUUAUUCUUCACCAGGCUGAUAAUAUCUGCCUAAUUUUAAACUUUCUUCCAUUUUGUAGGUUUCAACUUAUUCUAUUGUAAGAUACUGUUAAAUCUAAUAGAGGCAUUGUCACUUUUACGUAUAAUUUUAUUUUAUUUCAUAUAUUUCCUAUUGGCUUUUUACAUUUAAAUUAUGGAGCACUUCAUCAUAUAAAAAACUUCAAUUAUAUUUAAACAGUAAGUCUUUGGAUUUUUUUGCCUUGUAAUUUCCAUAUUACAUAAUAAUGAGAUAAACAUUAAUGUUUUCAGGGUACUUUAAAUUUUAGAUAAUUACUCAUUGUAUUCAUGUGAAAUUUGUUUUUACUGCAUGUGUGGGUUGGAGGACUGUUUUCACUUCUGAUUCAUCUUUACUCUUAUCUCAUCAGAGCUCAUACCUCUUGUAGUUGGGGGAUUGCAGUUUAUAAUUCCAAUAAAUGGGGCAAAUUCAAUAAUAACAUAAUACAAAUGAGUUUGAAUGCAGGACAGGUCUUCAAAGCAUACACAACAUGGGCCUACAUAUGUACAACAAUAAUAAUUUAUAAGUUACUGUUUGGAUGGAAAGUAAAAGUACAGAAAAUUUGUUAAAGGAAAUUAAAAUGGAGAUCAUGUCUCAAUAAUCUCUGAGCAGACAAAAUUAGUUAGGUCUCAUAAGUGAUCUCAACCUCGCUUGAUUUGCAAAUACAAACAAAACUUAAAUUAUUUCUUGUAGCUGCAUAUUGAAAAAAGAGAAAUGAAGCUCAACCAGUCAGAAGUAGCCAACAACCUUAUAUAAAUAGAAACUGUCCAACAAGGUAAACAGACAAACAAAAAACAAUAAAAAAAGUUGUGCUACCACCAAAUGAUUUCUUUGUUUCUACAUUUUUCAAAUAAAUACUUGCUUCUUACACUGUCAAUGAAGCACUCAAUAUCUUUCCGUCUGAUAUUUUAUAAUUUAUCAAUUGCUCUUACUCAAAUAAACACUUUGCAAUUUCA